UACGAAGGGGGCUAGCGUUGUUCGGAUUUACUGGGCGUAAAGCGCACGUAGGCGGAUUGGUCAGUUAGAGGUGAAAUCCCGGAGCUCAACUCCGGAACUGCCUUUAAUACUGCCAGUCUAGAGUCCGGAAGAGGUAAGUGGAACUCCUAGUGUAGAGGUGGAAUUCGUAGAUAUUAGGAAGAACACCAGUGGCGAAGGCGGCUUACUGGUCCGGUAUUGACGCUGAUGGACGAAAGCGUGGGUAGCGAACAGG
rnacentral:rRNA from 1 species